rnacentral:lncRNA from 1 species
GUCUCUCUUCUUUUUCUUCUCCUUCUUUAGCCCUAACCGCCACCGUCCGGUCUCGUCUCUGAAUGGCGUCAUUGGGCUACUGUUUUUCUUCUCUCUUCAAAUCUACGAUCAGAUUGUCUUGGUAAACACUAGAAAGCCACAAAACUCCAAGUCGAAAUCUGGAUCUCCCUUGUCCCGAUCUCCUCCGUCAGUCAUCGAAUUGAACUCCAAACUGGACUGGGACCUCCUCGUACCUCCCUCUUCAUUACCACCAUUCGGACUCAUGAGACCCAUCGGAAAUGACCACUUAUGGAGUACUGUAAUUGUAGGUUGUAUAGCCUUUAACCAUAUAAAUUUUUGUUUUUCUUAAUCCAAAAAUGAACAUUAAAGUAUCAUAAAUUUAAUUAGAGGUCUAGUACAUCACAACAUCAUUUCAAAAUAUGUUUUUGUUUUUAAUGUCCUGAUUAAAUUUCUUGAGUUUCUUCUAUUUUUGCUCAGAAUUUGUAAGGGUUUUGUGUAUUUUUGAGUUUCCCAAAUAAACUAUGGAAAAGACGACACACCAUUAGCCAUUGUUGAUUUCCUUGUACAGCCUAACUAUCAUCUCACUGGAGAGAGAGCUCAACCCAGCAUUCUUUGAAAUAAGUUCAAGAAAUCAAAGACUUGAAAUUAAAUCAUAUUUAAAUAUAUGUAACAUCAUUGGCGUU